rnacentral:rRNA from 1 species
AGCAGCCGCGGUAAUUCCAGCUCCAAUAGCGUAUAUUAAAGUUGUUGCAGUUAAAAGCUCGUAGUUGAAUUUCGGGAUCAGUAUGUUGGUCGUGCUUCGGUACGUACUGUCAUUACUGGUUUCUACCUUCUGAAGAACCUUGAUGUCAUUAAUUUGGUGUCUUGGGGAAUCAGGACUGUUACUUUAAAAAUUAGAGUGUUUAAAGCAAGCAUACGCUUGAAUACAUUAGCAUGGAAUAAUGAAAUAGGACGUUUGAUUCUAUUUUGUUGGUUUUUAGGAUCGACGUAAUGAUUAAUAGGGAUAGUUGGGGGCAUUAGUAUUCAAUUGUCAGAGGUGAAAUUCUUGGAUUUAUUGAAGACUAACUACUGCGAAAGCAUUUGCCAAGGAUGUUUUCAUUAAUCAAGAACGAAAGUUAGGGGAUCGAAGACGAUCUGAUACCGUCGUAGUCUUAACCAUAAACUAUGCCGACUAGGGAUCGGAUGAUGUUAUUUUUAAUGACUCAUUCGGCGCCUUACGGGAAACCAAAGUGUUU